UACGUAGGGUGCAAGCGUUAAUCGGAAUUACUGGGCGUAAAGCGUGCGCAGGCGGUGAUGUAAGACAGGUGUGAAAUCCCCGGGCUCAACCUGGGAACUGCAUUUGUGACUGCAUGGCUAGAGUACGGUAGAGGGGGAUGGAAUUCCGCGUGUAGCAGUGAAAUGCGUAGAUAUGCGGAGGAACACCGAUGGCGAAGGCAAUCCCCUGGACCUGUACUGACGCUCAUGCACGAAAGCGUGGGGAGCGAACAGG
rnacentral:rRNA from 1 species